rnacentral:rRNA from 1 species
UACGGGGGGAGCAAGCGUUGUUCGGAUUUACUGGGCGUAAAGGGCGCGUAGGCGGCGUAUCAAGUCACUUGUGAAAUCUCCGGGCUUAACCCGGAGCGGCCAAGUGAUACUGUUGUGCUAGAGUGCGGAAGGGGCUACUGGAAUUCUCGGUGUAGCGGUGAAAUGCGUAGAUAUCGAGAGGAACACCAGCAGCGAAGGCGGGUAGCUGGGCCGACACUGACGCUGAGGCGCGAAAGCCAGGGGAGCGAACGGG